GCCUGGGUGGCUCAGUUGGUUAAGCGUCCGACUUCAGCUCAGGUCAUGAUCUCACAGUUCGUGGGUUCGAGCCCCACAUCAGGCU
rnacentral:tRNA from 1 species